rnacentral:rRNA from 1 species
GCCAGACUCCUACGGGAGGCAGCAGUGGGGAAUAUUGCACAAUGGGGGGAACCCUGAUGCAGCGACGCCGCGUGGGCGAGGAAGUAUUUCGGUAUGUAAAGCCCUAUCGGCAGGGAAGAAGAAAUGACGGUACCUGAAUAAGAAGCACCGGCUAAAUACGUGCCAGCAGCCGCGGUAAUACGUAUGGUGCAAGCGUUAUCCGGAUUUACUGGGCGUAAAGGGAGCGCAGGCGGCGCGCCAAGUCUGAUGUGAAACCCCGGGGCUCAACCCCGGGCAUGCAUUGGAAACUGGCGGGCUGGAGUGCCGGAGAGGUAAGCGGAAUUCCUAGUGUAGCGGUGAAAUGCGUAGAUAUUAGGAGGAACACCAGUGGCGAAGGCGACUUUCUGGACUGUACCUGACGCUGAGGCGCGAAAGCGUGGGUAGCGAACGGGAUUAGAUACCCUCGUAAA